UAGCUGGGCACCUGGGGCUGCUGAGGUUGAGGCUGCUUGGAUGGAUAGCUAGGCACCUGGGGCUGCUGAGGUUGAGGCUGCUUGGAUGGAUAGCUAGGCACCUGGGGCUGCUGAGGUUGGGGCUGCUUGGAUGGAUAGCUAGGCACCUGGGGCUGCUGAGGUUGAGGCUGCUUGGGUGGAUAGCUAGGCACCUGGGGCUGCUGAGGUUGAGGCCGCUUGGGUGGAUAGCUAGGCACCUGGGGCUGCUGAGGUUGAGGCCGCUUGGGUGGAUAGCUAGGCACCUGGGGCUGCUGAGGUUGAGGCCGCUUGGGUGGAUAGCUAGGCACCUGGGGCUGCUGAGGUUGAGGCCGCUUGGUGGAU